rnacentral:rRNA from 1 species
AAAGGAAUAGACGGGUGCCCGCACAAGCGGUGGAGCAUGUGGUUUAAUUCGACGCAACGCGAAGAACCUUACCAGGCCUUGACAUGCCAGUAAAGGCCCUAGAGAUAGGGAGAUAGUUAUACUGGACACAGGUGGUGCAUGGUUGUCGUCAGCUCGUGUCGUGAGAUGUUGGGUUAAGUCCCGCAACGAGCGCAACCCUUGUCGAUAGUUACCAACAGUAAGAUGGGGACUCUAUUGAGACAGCCUCUGUAAGGAGGAGGAAGGUGGGGAUGACGUCAAAUCAUCAUGCCCUUUAUGGCCUGGGCAACACACGUGCUACAAUGGGGAGGACAAAGAGCUGCAAGCCCGCGAGGGUAAGCGAAUCUCAUAAACCUCUUCUCAGUUCGGAUUGGAGUCUGCAACUCGACUCCAUGAAGUUGGAAUCGCUAGUAAUCGCGAAUCAGCUAUGUCGCGGUGAAUACGUUCUCGGGCAUUGUACACACCGCCCGU